ACGCUAGCGAUAGGCUUAACACAUGCAAGUCGAGGGGCAGCAUUAUUUUAGCUUGCUAAGAUAGAUGGCGACCGGCGCACGGGUGCGUAACGCGUAUGCAACCUGCCUGUAAUUAGGGAAUAACCCGGUGAAAGUCGGACUAAUACCCUAUAUUCUUCUUUCUCCGCAUGGGGAAGGACGGAAAGAUUUAUUGAUUACAGAUGGGCAUGCGUCCCAUUAGCUUGUUGGUAAGGUAACGGCUUACCAAGGCAACGAUGGGUAGGGGGACUGAGAGGUUGACCCCCCACACUGGUACUGAGACACGGACCAGACUCCUACGGGAGGCAGCAGUGAGGAAUAUUGGUCAAUGGGCGAGAGCCUGAACCAGCCAAGUCGCGUGAAGGACGACGGUUCUAUGGAUUGUAAACUUCUUUUGUAGAGGAAUAAUGGCAGCUACGUGUAGCUGAGAUGCAUGUACUCUACGAAUAAGUAUCGGCUAACUCCGUGCCAGCAGCCGCGGUAAUACGGAGGAUACGAGCGUUAUCCGGAAUUAUUGGGUUUAAAGGGUGCGUAGGUGGCGUAUUAAGUCAGUGGUGAAAAGCUGCAGCUCAACUGUAGUCUUGCCGUUGAAACUGAUAUGCUAGAGAGGAGACGAGGUAUGCGGAAUGUGUGGUGUAGCGGUGAAAUGCAUAGAUAUCACACAGAACGCCGAUUGCGAAGGCAGCGUACUAGGCUCCGUCUGACACUGAAGCACGAAAGCGUGGGGAUCAAACAGGAUUAGAUACCCUGGUAGUCCACGCAGUAAACGAUGAAUACUAGAUUUUUGCGAUAUACUGUAAGAGUCUAAGCGAAAGCGAUAAGUAUUCCACCUGGGGAGUACGCCGGCAACGGUGAAACUCAAAGGAAUUGACGGGGGCCCGCACAAGCGGAGG
rnacentral:rRNA from 1 species